UUGCAGUGCUUUGCUCUUUGUUCUAUAGUUUCACAUGUAAUUAACAGUUCUUUCUUGCACUGCACUUGAUAUACCGGAUGCUCCACUCGCGUGGUGCGACCGUUCUCUUUGUGCCGUUGUUCUAAAAAGGAAUUACCUUCCACCCAAUUCCUGCAAAAUGGUCACCCACGCUUCCCUCUCAUGCCCGUGCGUGUUCUCACAUUGCUCUUCCUUGGAGCAGGAAAUGAAGUGAGCCCCGUAACAACUGUUUUGGCUUCUGUUGAACUCUUUAGUCUAAUGGGACCCUCGCCAACUGCGCCAAUGUGUUUGCAUUCCCAGAGACCCCCUUGGGAGAGCGACACCCCCACAUCUACCACCCCCAGCUUCCGGAGAAAAUGAUAGGGUCCAGCUGGAGCAGGAGCGUUUAGGCCUGUUCGCUAAUCUGCAGGUGAAACGGGGAUGUGCUGGCUGCUUGAUAAAGGCGCCCUUGAAGACAGGUUUGUCUGUGGGUUGAGCUCGGGUCAUGAACAAUUUGUGGCUCGUUGAUCCUACGGCUGGAUUUACGAUGUCUGAGUGACCGUCUUUGAUUUAGUGUCAACUUUUUUGAACAACACACUUGCGUUCACACUUACAGACAGUUUCGAGUCUUCAAUCAACAUGUGUGUUGCAGAUUUAUAAAACUAGCUAGAAUUAGAGCGAGUUAGCAAGUUUAGUUUCUUUUGAAAUGUAUUUAUUUUGGUAUUGCUGUAGGCUAUGUCUGUACACUCAAAGGAAGGUCAAGCAGUUGUUUACGAAGCGUAGUUCACUUUACUGAAUUACAACUUAGUAAAAUAUUGCACCCAAGAAAAAGAAAACAAAAGAAAACAACUAAUGGGUGCAAGGAAACAUUGAGUGUAUUAAUCUUAAAGCAGCCAGCAGGGCUGUGGAGGUUGUUCAACAAGAGACACAACACAAGUAUCACAAUGUUUAAAUAUAAAAAUAAAAUCAAAAACACACUGCUACUUGA